UACGGGGGGGGCAAGCGUUGUUCGGAAUUACUGGGCGUAAAGGGCUCGUAGGUGGCCAACUAAGUCAGACGUGAAAUCCCUCAGCUUAACUGGGGAACUGCGUCUGAUACUGGAUGGCUUGAGUUUGGGAGAGGGAUGCGGAAGUCCAGGUGUAGCGGUGAAAUGCGUAGAUAUCUGGAGGAACACCGGUGGCGAAGGCGGCAUCCUGGACCAACACUGACACUGAGGAGCGAAAGCCAGGGGAGCAAACGGG
rnacentral:rRNA from 1 species